rnacentral:rRNA from 1 species
ACGGGGGCGUGAUGUGCGAGAGGGAUAGUUCCCUAUACUUCAAACUUUUCACGCCCUAGUGGCGGACGGGUGAGUAACGCGUGGGUAACCUGCCAUAUACAGGGGGAUAACACUUAGAAAUAGGUGCUAAUACCGCAUAAGCACACAGGGGCGCAUGCCCCGGUGUGAAAAACUCCGGUGGUAUAUGAUGGACCCCCGUCUGAUUAGCCAGUUGGCAGGGUAACGGCCUACCAAAGCGACGAUCAGUAGCCGGCCUGAGAGGGCGGACGGCCACAUUGGGACUGAGACACGGCCCAAACUCCUACGGGAGGCAGCACCGCGAUAUAUAACACAAUGGGGGAAACCCUGAUGCGGGGACAAAAAAAAAAAAGAAGAAGUAUCCCCCCCCCCAAAGCUCUAUCAGCAGGGAAGAAAAUGACAAUACCUGACCAAGAAGCCCCGGCUAACUACGUACCAGCAGCCGCGGUAAUACGUAGGGGGCAAGCGUUAUCCGGAUUUACUGGGUGUAAAGGGAGCGUAGACGGUUAUGUAAGUCUGGAGUGAAAGCCCGGGGCCCAACCCCGGGACUGCUUCCCAAACUGUGUAACUGGAGUACAGGAGGGGCACGCCGAAUUCCUGGUGUAGCGGU